rnacentral:rRNA from 1 species
UACGGAGGGUGCAAGCGUUAUCCGGAAUCACUGGGUUUAAAGGGUGCGUAGGCGGUCUUGUAAGUCAGUCGUGAAAUCGCUGGGCUCAACCCAUGCAAUUGCGAUUGAUACUGCAUGACUUGAAUUAGGUUAAGGCAGGCGGAAUGUGACAUGUAGCGGUGAAAUGCAUAGAUAUGUCAUAGAACACCGAUUGCGAAGGCAGCCUGCUGGGCCUUGAUUGACGCUGAGGCACGAAAGCGUGGGGAGCAAACAGG